AUGAACGCUGGCGGCGUGCUUAACACAUGCAAGUCGAACGAUGAAGCCCAGCUUGCUGGGUGGAUUAGUGGCGAACGGGUGAGUAACACGUGAGCAACCUGCCCCUGACUCUGGGAUAAGCGCUGGAAACGGCGUCUAAUACUGGAUACGAACAAGAAUCGCAUGGUUACUUGUUGGAAAGAUUUUUCGGUUGGGGAUUGGCUCGCGGCCUAUCAGCUUGUUGGUGGGGUAAUGGCCUACCAAGGCGACGACGGGUAGCCGACCUGAGAGGGUGACCGGCCACACUGGGACUGAGACACGGCCCAGACUCCUACGGGAGGCAGCAGUGGGGAAUAUUGCACAAUGGGCGGAAGCCUGAUGCAGCGACGCCGCGUGAGGGAUGAAGGCCUUCGGGUUGUAAACCUCUUUCAGCAGGGACGAAGCGUGAGUGACGGUACCUGCAGAAGAAGCACCGGCUAACUACGU
rnacentral:rRNA from 1 species